rnacentral:rRNA from 1 species
UUGCAGUUAAAAAGCUCGUAGUCGGAUUUCAGUAUUAGGCCCUUCUUCCAAUACGGUUGCUAGUGGUCUUUACUUCCUUAACAGAAUCUUUCAUCUCAUUAAUUUGGGGUGUUUGGGGCCUGUUUCUUUUACUUUGAGAAAAUUAGAGUGUUCAAAGCGGGUUUUCGCCUGGAUAUUACUCUUGGAAUAAUAAUAUAGGACUUUGGUUCUUUUUUGUUGGUGACUUAGAACCGAAGUAAUGAUUGAUAGGGACAGUUGGGGUCAUUCGUACUAUGAAGCGAGAGGUGAAAUUCAUGGACCUUUGUAUGACGAACUACUGCGAAAGCAUUUGACUAGGAUGUUCCCGUUGAUCAAGAACGAAAGUUGGGGGAUCGAAGACGAUCAGAUACCGUCGUAGUCUCAACCAUAAACUAUGCCAGCUAGGGAUUGGAGGAAGAUCAUUUUACGUCUCCUUCAGCACCUUAUGAGAAAUCAAAGCAUUUGGGUUCCGGGGGGAGUAUGGUCGCAAGGCUGAAACUUAAAGGGAUUGACGGGAGGGCACCACCAGGAGUGGAGCCUGCGGCUUAAUUUGACUC